rnacentral:lncRNA from 1 species
GCAAAUCAUCAUCUCCACCAUUUCCAUUACCAGUUUGGCACACAUAAAACUAUGGCCGGAAACAUGCGAGAAAUAUUCAUCAACUGGGUCACUAGGCUGAAGAAGAUGCUCUGUUUAACUACGAAGGAGGACAAAGAGAGCACGAGUUUCAGUUCGUCAUCAAGCGCCAUCUACUGUGAUGAGCUGUUCCGUCCUACCAACAUGGGUGAUCGCAACGCCAACCAUUUUCUCUCGGCUUACGUAGCUGCUCAAAACCACUUCAGACUCAGGCAGAACAUUUUCAUGUAAACAGAAAGAUGCAUGGAAUCUGCAUUUAUAAUUUCCAUCUUCCACUCUUUAGUUAUAUAUGCUGUUGUAUGUAUGCUUUUUUAAAAGACUGAGA